rnacentral:tRNA from 1 species
CAUUAAAUAUCUUAAAUUAAAGUUUUGGUCUUUUAAACCAAAUAUAGUAAAUUACUUUUAAUGA